UAUUCCUACAGGCUACAAUCCUAGCUUAUGUUAUGAUCUUAUCCACCAUUUCACCCGUAUGAGUUAUUUAUGACCGUAUUAACUUCGGACAGAUAUGUCAGUGUAUGUAGCUGGACAAGUUCACGUGAAGUCGUGAACCACAAUAAAUUUGGAAACAAUAUAAUUUUUUUAAAAAAUCAUACAAAAACUUUAAAUUUCGUUUUUCACGUGGUGGCGUCACGACAAGUAGUUUCGUUUUUUUUUUUUUUAAUCUUGGUGUAAAGAGAACGUGUACAAUCAUGGAAUUCAAAAUUCUUCUAUAAAUUAAAGGUCUCAGAUGUUGAAGCUCUCAUAAGUCAUAACUCAUAACUCAUAAGUGGCAAGCAAAGAGAAAUCCUAUCACUAAAAAGUGCAAAAAAGAAAAUGGAGAAGUCAUCUUGCUUUAAGCUGGUUUUCUUAGCCUUUGUGUUGCUCAACAUUUCAGCUUCAACCCUUGCAAGAAUGCAACCAAUUAUAAUGGAAGAACUCGCAAAGGAACAAGUUCUUGAACAACUUGGUGCCUACAAACAGAUAAUAGCGUCAGCAGCAACAAGAUCAAACCGCGCCGAGUUAUUAAGAAUGGUGAGAGGAGCGGUUGCGCAACAAUGCGGGAGACGCGGCGCCUAUUGUAACACUAACAACGAUUGUUGUGCUGGUUUCACUUGUAGGGAAGACGAUGAUCAAGAUUAUUACACUGGCUACACCACCUGCGUCUAGAUCUUGGACUUAUUUAAAAAAAAUGUGUUAUUAUAAGUGUAUUUGGCCUUUUAGGCUUGAUCUUGAAUUUGGUCUUAAAGCUUAGUCAUCUAGCUAGCUGGUUUGUUUGUGAAUAAAAAUCAUUUGUCUUCUAUAGACAAUUAGAUUUUCUUAAUAUCACAAAUGAACUUGUUAAUGCUAAUAAUAUAAAAAACUUCCUUAGUCA